CAACAUUAGUGUUGUUUAGAAAAGUAAGGGGAAGAAAAAAAAAAAAAAGCAGGUAGGGGGAAAAUGAGGGCUCAUGCAAAACCAACCUUAGAGUUGGAGAGGCACAGAGAAGUCUUUGAAGGAUUAAAGAUGACCUUCUCUGAGGACACACUCCUCUUCUCCUAGACGUCUGUCACACUGCCCCAGCUGAUGUAGAAGCAAGUCACAAGGCUGAGGUCAUGUGAGUUCUGGGAUCUGGGGCUGCUGACUCAAUGCUCCCAUGGAGGCGUACACUGAAGCCCUGCAUGUGCACUGUCCUGAAACUGGGUGGAGAUGGGGGGUGGCUCUGCCUCUGCUAAGAAACUAGUGGGAAUUAUUUUAAUUCUAGCUCUGUCCUUCUAGCUAGCUGCAUAGACAGUUUACUUAAUUUAUGUGUCAGUUUCCUAGAAGGGUUGUUUUGAGGAUUUGUGUAAAAUAUCCAGCAUAAUGCCUGGAGUUAGCAAGGUUUUGAUAUAUGGUAGCGCUGAUGAGGAUGAUGGUUAUGAUGGUGGUGGUGGUGGUGGUGAUGAGGAAGGGGAGGUGGGAAAGGGAUAUAGAUGAGAAGGAUGAUUCAAAGAACCAAACAUUGGCUAAGAUCUGGCUUGAACCCAGCUCACUAUUCAGAUCAAAUAUUUUCUUUCUGGCACUGAAUAUGACCAGGAAUUACGAUGCACUUUCCUGUUUUUAUAAGAUUUCACACACACACACACACACACACACACACACACACACUUGCUAUCAUAUCUAAUCUCAUAUUAAAAUUCAUAAAAACAAAGAAUGGCAGUCUUCAAACAAAACUGAGUUAUUACAAAACACGUCUGGAUGAAACAAUUUUAAUUUUAAACUAGAUUUCCUUUACCUCCUUUUUUUUUUUUCAAGGAGUGAGAGAGAAUUUUCCAUACUUAAGUAGGAAAUUUUAAACAUUCUAGAAAGAAAACAUACAACAAAAUUAGCAGAUGAUCUUGGCUUUUGACUAAUUUCUACAUCAAAAAAUAAAAUUGAUAAAUAUUUUUGCUCAACAUUACAAAAAUGUUCAGCCGUAUACAUCAUUCAAGAUGAUUUCUAGUAGCAUCCUUUUCUGAGAAGCCCUCAAAUAAAGGCACUAGCCUCAUGGUGGUGGGUAGAGACAUUGAGAAUCAGAGCGAGUAUAGAACAAACCUAUAGCUUUCAUUUGGGAAUCCUUCCAAGUUGGGGUAGAGGUGGGACUGGGAGACAUAUUAUAAGUUCAUACAGCAAGUUUAACUGGAUUUUGUUCUAGUCAUAUUGCUGCACAUAUCUUUAUUAGUGCUUAUUUAAUAGCAUCACAAGGAACAGUUCUCUGUUCCACUGGGCUGCAUAUUCUUUGCAAAAUAGUGCAUCAGUGUGAGAUGGGGUGGAGGGCUUGGGUGGUGAAAUUGUAGUUAAUUCAUUAUUGUGUUUCCUGGGCUGAGUCUUGUUUGGCACUUAGGAUAGGUGCUCAAUGAAUGCUUGAAUAAAUAAUUGAAUAUAAGAUUGAAUGAAAAAAAGCAAUAUGCUUUCUGUUUUCAUUUUCCCCUCAGUACCUAAUUUGGUCUAUGGUUGGCUUAGGUAAAGCUAAUGGCAGCCCACUGCAUGCCAAGACUGGACCAUCUUGUAACCAAAUUGCUUAUGAAAGCAGUCUGAAGUGGAUGGUACAGACUUUGAGACCAAAUAUCAACAGUGCUGUAAGCCAACAGGUACCAUUAGGAAGAGGGAAAAAAAGCUUUGAGGAAAUUUAAUAAUAAAAUUCAAGAUUGCCAUCAAGUUUAUUGAUUCAAAACUCAAGAAGUUUACAAUUUUCAAAAAAGCUUUUCUUGGCAAAUUAUAUCCUGAGAGUUGAGCACAUAGUAGUAAAUUGAUAACUAAGAUUACUGAGAGAAUAAAAGUUGCAGGUAGGGGUAUUACAUUAGGACUUUUUGGAUGAGUAAUGUACUCACAGAGAUAAGCUUUAUUGCAGAAAACUGAUUAACAAGUUUAUUGUCUGUACAGUGGUGUUCUUGUCAGUGGUGUUCUUGUUGAAUGCUGAGGCUACUGGAAAAUAAGAAGGAAAAGGCAAUUGAAACAUUCCUUGAUUAAAUCUUAUUUGCCUAAAAUUCUUAUAUAUGGAUAAGAUAAUGUCUGGAAACUUCCCCUUCUGUAUCUUCAAAUGCAAAUGCUUUCUCACGGUCUAAGCCAGCAUCAUUUUGGAGCACAAAUAAGUUAUUUUGAAUACUUUGAUCUUUUUCAGUCACUUUGUAGACUACCUUCAGCUGUAAGCUGUCAGAGAUCAUAUUUUGGGAGUAAAAAAAAAAGAAUGGAGAAAUGAAACUUGAAUGUAGGAUGUGGAUAAUCUCUUUCAAGUCAGGUAUUUUGAAUGGAUUUGCCAUGAAAAUUAGUUCUUAAGACAUUUCUUUAGUUUCACAUCGCCCCUAUCAAAUUGGUGUCAGGUUUGGGCUCUCUCCCAAAACAGGAAAGCAAAAUGCCUAGGAUGGUAUGCUUCUAAGACGAGCUUCUUUGAGUAGAAAGCCAUGACCAUUCCCUCUCAGAGCAAAGGACUAAAAAUGUGGCUGGUGGUCCAUAAUGUUGGAAGUGGUACCUAGAGCUUAACUUCUUUUGCUGAACUUCUCAUACCAUCAGAUUGUUGCAUAGUUCCAUCAACCAACAGGAUUAUCAUGAACAUUAAACACAAUAAUCUAUAUACAAUUGCCUUGUGAACUGUAAAAAGUUGUGUAAGUGUAUUAUUUUUCUAAGUUAUAGUGAAUCUUGAGUAUAUGUUAAAAAAGUACAUAAGAAAUUUUUUGCUAAAUUAAAAACGUCAUAAAUUUCUUCUUUUGGACAUAUCUGCUUUACCUUGUAAAAGAAUCUCUGGUAAUCUGGUUAGAAGAAUUUUAAAGUAGAACUACAAUGUUUUUUGGUUUAGUUUUUCUUUUUAUGGCUGCACUUGAAGCAUGUGGAAGUUCCCAGGCUAGGAUUCAGAUCAGAGCUGCAGCUGCUGGCCUACGCCACAGCCAUGGCAAUGCCAGAUCCAAGCCACAUCUGUGGCCUAUGCCUCAGCUUGGGGUAAUGCCAGACCCUUAAUCCACUGAGUGAGGCCAGGGAUUGAAACCACAUCCUCAUAGAGACAAUAUUGGGCACUUAAUCCCUGAGCCACAGGAACUCCAGAACUAGAAUAUUUUUUAUUUCUCUUGGGUUUUAAUAAACAUUGUGUGAGAAAUGUCUCCAUGGGCAUUUGUCACAACUCCAUAGAAUUGGACAAGAAGCCAGAGGACCUGGAUCUGUGUCCAAAUCCAUCAUUAACUGUGCCACUUUGGGCAGAACCUUUCUGAGCUUGAUUUCCCAAGCAAUAAAGCAGUAGAAAUAGUGCUACCUGACUUGCUUAUCUCAUAAAAUUAUUGAAGAAAGCAAAUGAGAAAAUGAAUGUAGACCUCUUAGAAAUCUAUAAUAAAACUCUGCUCAAAUAUAGCAUUCUGCCUUCUUCCUCUGAAAUUACUAAUAACAGUUUGCUAUACUGUCAAUGGACUUGACUAUAUAAUAAGAAUAGCUUUUCAUUUUGGUUUUUUUUUUUCCAAGUGUACAGUUAAAUGAAACCAUUAUAUCGAUGUUUACAUACCAGGCCAGUGAGAAAUGGCACUAAAAUAUGCACUAUCUUAGCUUUAGUGAAAUAGUUAUUCAAAUGAAAGUGGAAUGCAUUAUCUCAGAGUAUUAGAAAAUGGAUCAUUAGCUUCUUGGUUAUUACUGCUAUAAAUAGGGGUUUUUUUUGGUAAAUAAAAUUAGCCCAGUAUUAUAAGCAAUCAUUUUCAAACUUCAGAGCAACUUGAUGUAGGUGACUUUUUUUUUUACACAACUUAAGAUGAAAUUAAAAAGGAUAAAUUCCUCAGAAAAAUCCAGAUGGCUAAUACCAGUCAGCACUGUACUCCACCUAUUCAAGUUUAUGAUAUGUCUAUGGUAUGUUUUUAAUUUCCUAAAUAACUGACUCAAAUCACCAUUCAAAAGGCUCUUUAGGCUUUGAAUUAUCCAAACAACCUAUAUUGAUCUCACAAAUCAGAUAAUUGGUGAAUAAAUAUCUGCUUUGCUUUGUGCAAUGCUGAUACAGCUUCUAAGGUGAAAUGAGUUUCAGAGAGAUUCACACAGCAGCUCAUAAGGAAAAUUAUUUUUUCCUCAAAUAACCUGGGCCUUUGACAUUUUCAUUUUUAGAAUAAAAAGUGUUUAGGUAAUCAAAAUGGCAUAUUCAUGUCUCUCCUUUGUGCUUCUAAAAUAAUUUACUGCCAAAAUGUCUUGAGGUAGUAUGCUGACAGGUUCUGUGUAAAUAUACACUGUUAGCAAAAAAGCUAUGCAUUGUAUGUUACUGGGGACACUGCCGCUGAAUAGCUUUCAUUGGACUUUAUAGGAAAGAGCCAUAAGCAAUAUCAGAAUGUUUUGAAUAAUUAACAGGGAACUAAGUGGUGUGUCAAGUAAAUGGAAUGGCUUACUUGGAAUGUCUAGUUUAUACCAAUUUAUAUUCAGCUCUGGAUAGCAAAAAUUAGUGAUUUCUCUUCUUAUCAGCUAAACACCCUUCACGAUCUCUCCCUCUUUAAUAGGUAGCACUAAGUUGAAGACGUCAUCCAUCCAUCACCUUGUGCCACUGAUGGUCAUGAGAAAAGAUCAGCUAACAGCUCACAAAUAGUGCAGGCUUCAAGAAAGAGUAGAGCAUGCUGUUGACAAAGCAGGGUUUCUUUCACUGAGCCCCAGGAGGAGUUAUAAAAACAACCUGAAGUUGAAAUUUUCAAACACAGGGUGGAUUGUGGUCAUGAGGUCAGAGCCUUUUGCAGGCAAUAAUUUUCCACUGGGGUUUGAGGGAGAGACUAAUAAACAUGGUUAAAAUUACUCUUCAGUUCUGGUUAUACAAAUGCAAAAGUCAGAGAAUGGAUUGCAACUCUGUGGGAUAGAAAAUUAAAUAUAAUACUUGAGUUAUUAAAGAAUUCAGUAAAUAACCAGGGAUCACUUAUAUAUGGCAAAAUCUGUCAGUAAGCACUAAACUUCCCAUCAAGAGAGUUCUCAACUUGUAUUUCCAACUCUAAGCUGCCUAUAAAAUAAAGCCAUAGUAUUCAGUGAAGCCAAAGAGCUUUUCAUGUGAUGAAUCCUAAGCAGGACCUGUCGUUUAGAUUCUUCCAUUUGAUGGUGAUUGACAGUUCUUGAAAUGCUUGACACUGAAGGCUCCUAAGUGAAGAAAUACAAUCAUAUUGUGUUGCUUUCUUCCUUAUCUUUGCUCUGUCUUUACCUUAGCAAGGGCUCAAUAAAGGCAGUCCAGGAAUUUAACUAAUUAUUUAAUUUGAGACAAAUGAAACUAGAACUCUAGUUUAAAAAUCCCAAAUCUUUGUUAAAUUUGUGAUCCACAUCAAGUAAAACUUCACUAUGAAAUACUGGAGAUGGCCUUUGGCCCUUCUGGUCACCUGGCUUUAAGGUUCUAUUGGGAAAAUUCUUUUGCUCUGUCCUUGGAUUUCUGUGAUAGCACUUCUGUUAAGCACUGUGUCUCAAACUUUCCUCUGCAUGCAAGUCACUUGAGGACUUUGUUACAACAUAGAUUAGGGAGUUCCUGUCAUGGUUCAGUGGAAAGGAAUCUGACUAGAAUCCAUGAGAAUGUGGGUUUGAUCCCUGGCCUCGCCCAGUGGGUUAAGGAUCCAGCAUUGUUGUGAGCUGUAGUGUAGAUUGUAGAUGUGGCUAGGAUCCUGCGUUGCUGUGGCUAUGAUAUAGGCUGGCAGCUGCGGCUCCAAUAGGACCCCUAGCCUGGGAUCUUCCAUAUGCCAUGGGUUGGGCCCUAAAAAGCAAAACAAACAAACAAACAAAAAAACCUAGAUCGAAGGUAGAUAAGAUAGAUAAGUAAGGAUGGGGCCUGAGAUUCUUCAUUUCCAAGAAACUUCCAGGUGGCCUUAUUGGUCCAAGGAUAGACUUUGAGUAGCAAGGCACUCAAUUUGGCUUUUUCUACACCACUUACUCCACCCAUGGGAGGAAGACUGAUUUGUCUAAUUGGUGAGAUAGCAAGAAAUCUGACACAUCUUCACUCAUGAUCCUCUAGUGAAGGGAGAUAAUGAGGGCAGACACCUUAUUGCAUGCUGUGGGCCUCUUUUGCCCUCUCCCUUUGUGAUUGCCCUGCCAAGGAGUGGAAGUUUUCUUCUCCAUCUGGUGAAGCUCCUGGAGAGUUUCUACCUAUAGGGCAGGCAACCUACUGCUGGGCCUAUGGCAGACAGAUCUUGAAAGUCAGUGGCCUCAGUAAGUCUGUGUAUGCAGAAACCCCUUUGGCAUUGGUCCAAAUAUUGUUUUCAAUCCAGCUCUAUCAGCAGUAAAACUGAUCUUCUCAUCUUUCAUUUGAAUCCUCUAUGUUUCUCAGUUUGUUCUGAAUCUAGUAGGGAGAGAAGAGUAAUUAAUUGGUCCUUUCAAUUUCUACGAAUGCUGUAGAAAUCUGGCUUCCUGAUACAGGAGCUCAUCAUGGCUUCCAGGAUAUCAGAAGGUAGUUAUCUGCUGUGUGGAUCUUCAACUCCUUUUCCCAUGAAUGUCAAGGGAAGAUAAGGAUGAGGGUUAUAUUCAAUAAGAUUUUAAAAAUGAGGUCAACAGAAUGGGAGAAAAUCUCUGACAAGAGAUUAAUCUCCAAAAUAUACAAAUAACUCAUGCAGCUUUAUAUAUCAAAAAACAAAAACAACCCCCUGAAAAUGGUCAGAAAAUCUAAAUAGACAUUUCUCCUAAGAAGAUAGACAAAUGGCCAAAAUGCACAUAAGAAGAUACUCAAUGUCACUAAUUAUUAGAGAAAUGCAAAUCCAAACUAAAUAAGAUAUCACUUCACACUUGUCAGAAUGGUAAUCACCAAAAAAAAAAAAAAAA
rnacentral:lncRNA from 1 species